GACCGCUCCGGUGGCUUAGUGGUUAUAGCGUUUGCCUCAGAUGCGGGAAGUCGCGGGUACGAAACCCAUCCAAGUCA